GGCCUAAUGGUCUAGAAGUAUGAUACUCGCUUUGGGCGUUUGCUGUUUGCGAGUGGUCCUGGGUUCAAUUCCCAGUUAGGCCC